UACGUAGGGGGCAAGCGUUGUCCGGAUUUAUUGGGCGUAAAGAGCGUGUAGGCGGCCAAAUAGGUCGGUUGUGAAAACUGGAGGCUUAACCUCCAGACGUCGACCGAAACCAUCUGGCUAGAGUCCGGAAGAGGAGAGUGGAAUUCCUGGUGUAGCGGUGAAAUGCGUAGAUAUCGCUUGGAACGCCAAUGGUGAAAACAGCUCGCUGGGGGUGUGCUGACGCUGAGACACGAAAGCCAGGGGAGCGAACGGG
rnacentral:rRNA from 1 species